CACGGGGGGCCCUACGGGGCGCAGCAGGCGCGAAAUCUUUACAAUGCGGGAAACCGCGAUAAGGGGACACCGAGUGCCAGCAUUUAUGUUGGCUGUCCACAUGUGUAAACGGCAUGUGUUAGCAAGGGCCGGGCAAGACCGGUGCCAGCCGCCGCGGUAACACCGGCGGCCCGAGUGGUAAUCACUUUUAUUGGGUCUAAAGGGUCCGUAGCCGGUUUGAUCAGUUCUUCGGGAAAUCUGACAGCUCAACUGUUAGGCUUCCGGGGAAUACUGUCAGACU
rnacentral:rRNA from 1 species